UGGGGGAGCCCAAUAAAUGAGUUAAAGAAAUGAGAGGACGUACCGUUCACCAGAAUGGAAUAGGAGGGACCCCCCACACAGCCCAUGAUCCAUCUGAUCCAUAUCUCGUGGAAACCGAAACUUUGAAGAGAGAACCGAAUAAAAUCCCAACACAUUCUGUCAUAUGCCUUCUCCAUAUCAAGCUGGACCCCCAUAAGGCAUCUCUUUAUCGGAGCCCUGAUGAGACCAAACAUAAACUCCUGGGCGAUUAGGUCGUUGUCAGAUAUGCUCCUCCCCCCCUAUAAAAGCACCCUGCUC
rnacentral:lncRNA from 1 species